rnacentral:lncRNA from 1 species
AUGGCUCGUUAUAGUUUGUUGCAUCCUCUUUCCUUCAUCAGCUUUGAAGCAAAAGCUCACUUCUCUACGAGUCAGGAUCUGUCGCUUGCAAGGAGCAAAUGUUUUAAGCUUCCACAGACUGAGACUGAAGGCACCGCGUGGGACAAACCACCGGAUUUCUCCAUAACGCAGUACAGGUCUCUGUCGGUUCCUCGGAACGAAGGGAGAAAGGUCAAAUCAAACCUGCCGCCGCCGCCGCCGGCGCCGAGUGAGACCGGGCGGAACCAAGGGAGAAGUCUGCAGGGACUUUUAGGUGAGAGCAACGAGAGGAAGGGGCUUCCGAGGUUCAUCACGUCUUUCAGGCCUCCAGACGCUCAGGAGUCGGAGCUGAUGUUCGUCAAGUCGGGCAAAUAUGCGUGUGAAUGUUACAAGAACCCCAAAGCGCACAACUUCAGACCGCUUGAUGAGACGCUUCCAGACAUAGUGACCAACCUGGAUGUGAAGUUAAAGCACGUGGACACACUGUGUACUGGUAACACUGGGUCAGAGUGGAGUUUGAGGACGUCCAGCGUGAGGAUGGACACACACAAACCAGCGGCGCCUCACUGGGACUCGGGCCUCAUUCUCCCUCCGCUGCCCUGGCCUCCGAAGUCAGCUUCCUACACGAGACACCGGCGGAGGAGAGGAGCGUACUCUGCUUUCCUGGAGCGGGUGGAAGAGAAACUCUCAAGAUCCUGGAAAAAUAGAUCAGAACAAGUCUAG